UCCAGAGAUGCCUGUGGUUAGAGUGGAGGAGGAAUGGGCAUGAAGCAAAUACAUGGUUAAGUCAGAUGCUGCUUCUAAUUCUUCAUUUGUCGAGUAGAGGAGGAACUCCUCAACAGAGCCACACCACAGGACAUCAUUGAAUGCAGCCGGAGCCAGCCAAUCAUCACUUCAAUCUUUUACGAUGGACUUCAGAGGAUGAACUGAUGCCAACUCCAACCAUAAGACAUGGGAUACUUCAUAUGCCAUUGCCUGAACCUUGGACUUAGGAUAGACAGGCCAGGUUGAAUUGCAAUGCACCUAACUGAUCUCUGCCUGCAUCACCUCGGUCUAAUGAUGGACUGCACUCUUGAAAUGGAAUACAUAGACUAUCAAUUAAUAAGAGUAUCAAUUAAGCCAACUAACAAGGACAAUUAAAUCUAUGUGAAUUUCUGCAGUUAAUCCAGGAUUGACUUCAAAGACAUUAGUCAUUAAUCUUACAGUUCAUACAAAAUCUUUGUUUUAAACACUGACCCUUAACACUUACUUAGUUUAAUAAUUUUAAACAAUGACUUGCACUAUACAUAAGUAAUAUUGGCAUUAUAUUCACGAUGUUAACUAGAGGGGAACUGGCACCCACAGUGAGUCUGGUUUCUCCCAAGGUUAUUUUUCCCCAUUAACCAACAUCUUAUGGAGUUUUGUGUUCCUUACCACAGUCGCCUUCGGCUUGCUCACUGGGGUUAUAAAUACAAUUAUUAUUUAAUUACUUAUUUUUAAACAUAAUUCACAAUCUUAUUUUAUCAAACUACACAAUGAUGACUCUAAGACAUUAUAGAAAUAUCAUAUGAGAUGAGACUUCAGAUUCCUCAGUUUAGAAUAAAAAAAUGUCUCUACUGACACAGGAAGCACAUAGACUCACAGAGGACUUUAUUAGGAACAGCUGUACAACUAAUUAUUCACCCGAUUAUCUAAUCAGCCAAUCAUGUGGCAGCAGUGCAAUGCAUAAAAUCAUUCAGAUACGGGUCAGGAGCUUCAGUUAAUGUUCACUGGUUCUGGUUCAAGCUGACAGAAAGGCUAUGGUAACUCAAAUAACCACUCUGUACAAUUGUAGUGAGCAGAAUAGCAUCUCAGAAUGCACAACACAUCGAACCUUGAGGCGGAUGGGCUACAACACCUGAAGACCAUGUCGGGCACUUUAUUAGGAUCAUAGUGUUAGUAAUAAAGUGCUCAGUGAGUGUAGAUGGUCAUAAUUUCUGCAUGUUGAUUACAUUAUGAUCUCAUGAAAAUUUUGUUUAGCAAAAUGACACUACGUGGUCGUUACACAUCACGGCAGAGGUGAAAUAUCCACUGUGUGGCACUAAAAGUGAGUUAAAUGUUCACCCAUACAGAUAAGGAUUUUAAGGUUAAUGCUCUAUUGGAUUUUAAUUCAACAAAACCUACAUCCCUACCCAAAACCUUAAACGUAAACCUAACCGAUAAUGUCAUAUAAAGAAAAUGUGAUAGGCAAAUUGUUGUAGCGCCUCUAGUGUUCAUUUUUACCAGAAAACUGCCGUGAAACGUACAGUGAGCCAAGUAAAAAUGUAGCAAUAACAAUGUGAUUCUAUGAAACUAUGUUGGUACAUUAUGUGUUUGAGUGUUUUUUAGUGAUACUAUGAUGAUGGAAUUUAGUGUUAAUUUUGUGUAUUUGUUUAUUAGUGGUAUUUAUUGUGUGUUUUAAUCUGUUCAAAUGCUGUUAAUGAUAUCACUUUGAUUCUAAUCCUGCUAUUGAAAUAUUACUCAGUUAUAUAAAAAAUCAGUUAUAUAUUAACUACAAUGUAGUUAGCUACUUUUAAUUAGCUUGAAGUGUUACUGACUACUUUUUUAAAUGGGUAGCUUGAUUGUAGUUUAAAUAUUAGUAUGUUAGUAUGUAGUCUGACAAGUUUCAAUGUAGCCUCCCCAACACUGCUACUGACACUUCUGUUUAUUAUGUGUUUGUGUGAAUGGGUGGUUGCAAAAUUGCUGGUUAUGUUGUUCCAUGCUUUCACAGAGCUUUAGAAUGCUAAACCAUAGCAACCAAAAAUGACCAGUCUUUUUCCCCACAUAGACACUCAAAUAAAAAGGAAAAACACUGUUUGAAAAAAUAAAUAAAUAAAUAAAUA